GAUGAACGCUCGCGGCAGGCCUAACACAUGCAAGUCGAGGGGGAAGUUACUUUCGGGUGACUGAGACCGGCGUACGGGUGCGUAACGCGUAUACAAUCUGCCUUUCACUGGGGGAUAGCCCGAAGAAAUUUGGAUUAAUACCCCAUAGUAUAUAGGGACGGCAUCGUUUUUAUAUUAAAGCUUAGGUGGUGAAAGAUGAGUAUGCGUUCUAUUAGCUAGUUGGAGAGGUAACGGCUCCCCAAGGCGAUGAUAGAUAGGGGUUCUGAGAGGGAUGUCCCCCACACUGGUACUGAGAUACGGACCAGACUCCUACGGGAGGCAGCAGUGAGGAAUAUUGGGCAAUGGUCGGAAGACUGAUCCAGCCAUGCCGCGUGCAGGAUGAAGGUCUUAUGGAUUGUAAACUGCUUUUGUAAGGGAAGAAUAAGGGCUACGCGUAGUUUGAUGACGGUACCUUACGAAUAAGCAUCGGCUAACUCCGUG
rnacentral:rRNA from 1 species